GUUCCAUAUUUUAAUGCUGCUGACAGUUACAGAUUUUCCUCCCUCAGUUGCAUAAUUAUAUUUAGGACACACUAAAUUAUAUUCGCCAUGACGAGUUUGUCUACCAUUAAUUUCAUUGUUUGUUUUAAAUAAGUCCUUAAUAUAUUGUGGAGCUUGAUCAUGCAGGCUCUUGUAAACUAAAGUGCAUUUGUUAAUUUUAACUUCGUCAUAAAAAGGUAUCCAGUUCAGUUUAUUAAAAUUGGCUAUUGACCUGGAGGAAGUGUCAGUUCCUAAAAUUACCCAAGCUGCUCUUUUUUUGUAAUUUAAAAAUUCUAAGCAGAUCAUUUCGCGAGCAGCAACUCCAAAUAGAACUACCAUACAUCAUAACUGGCUUGACGAC